UGUGAGUCAUUUCAGUUCAUUUUCCCAUCUUUAUAUCAGUGGAAGUCCAUGGAAUAGAUGGUUUUAUGUACUGAUAAAGGCAUCCACCUGAUUUACAAUGCUUUUUGAAAUCAGGAAGCUACACUUUGCUUCUGGGGUGAUGAACAACCUUCUUCCUUCAACCCUUUUUACCCCUAUAUGUACUGGGGAGAAAAGAAAGAAUUUGGACUUGAUCUAGUACUGUGGGCCACUAAACUUCUGUUUUCUGAAAGACCUUAAGAGCUAUGAAUGGCUUGAGUACAUUUCAGUGUGUACAUAAUUAC